rnacentral:hammerhead_ribozyme from 13 species
CAGGCGUCUAGGGUAGAGGUCGUAUACCGUGAGCCCCACUGACGAGUCUUUGUAGACGAUUCCAAAGACGAAACGCCAU